CGCUGGCGGCAUGCCUAAUACAUGCAAAUCGAACGAAGCCUUUUAGGCUUAGUGGUGAACGGGUGAGUAACACGUAUCCAACCUACCCUUAAGUUGGGGAUAACUAGUCGAAAGAUUAGCUAAUACCGAAUAAUAACAUCAAUAUCGCAUGAGAAGAUGUAGAAAGUCGCGUUUGCGACGCUUUUGGAUGGGGGUGCGACGUAUCAGAUAGUUGGUGAGGUAAUGGCUCACCAAGUCAAUGACGCGUAGCUGUACUGAGAGGUAGAACAGCCACAAUGGGACUGAGACACGGCCCAUACUCCUACGGGAGGCAGCAGUAGGGAAUUUUUCACAAUGGGCGAAAGCCUUAUGAAGCAAUGCCGCGUGAACGAUGAAGGUCUUAUAGAUUGUAAAGUUCUUUUAUAUGGGAAGAAUCGCUAAGAUAGGAAAUGAUUUUAGUUUGACUGUACCAUUUGAAUAAGUAUCGGCUAACUAUGUGCCAGCAGCCGCGGUAAUACAUAGGAUGCAAGCGUUAUCCGGAUUUACUGGGCGUAAAACGAGCGCAGGCGGGUUUGUAAGUUUGGUAUUAAAUCUAGAUGCUUAACGUCUAGCUGUAUCAAAAACUGUAAACCUAGAGUGUAGUAGGGAGUUGGGGAACUCCAUGUGGAGCGGUAAAAUGCGUAGAUAUAUGGAAGAACACCGGUGGCGAAGGCGCCAACUUGGACUAU
rnacentral:rRNA from 1 species